GACGACCAUAGCGACUUGGUCCCACUCCUUCCCAUCCCGAACAGGACAGUGAAACGAGCCAGCGCCGAUGAUAGUGCGGAUUCCCGUGUGAAAGUAGGUCAUCGUCAGGC
rnacentral:rRNA from 1 species